rnacentral:rRNA from 1 species
GGCCAGACUCCUACGGGAGGCAGCAGUGGGGAAUAUUGCACAAUGGGGGAAACCCUGAUGCAGCGACGCCGCGUGAGUGAAGAAGUAUUUCGGUAUGUAAAGCUCUAUCAGCAGGGAAGAAGUUGACGGUACCUGAGUAAGAAGCCCCGGCUAACUACGUGCCAGCAGCCGCGGUAAUACGUAGGGGGCAAGCGUUAUCCGGAUUUACCGGGUGUAAAGGGAGCGUAGACGGCAGUGCAAGUCUGAAGUGAAAGCCCCGGGCUUAACCCGGGAAUUGCUUUGGAAACUGUACGGCUGGAGUGCUGGAGAGGUAAGCGGAAUUCCUAGUGUAGCGGUGAAAUGCGUAGAUAUUAGGAGGAACACCAGUGGCGAAGGCGGCUUACUGGACAGUAACUGACGUUGAGGCUCGAAAGCGUGGGGAGCAAACAGGAUUAGAUACCCUCGUAAU